rnacentral:rRNA from 1 species
UACAGAGGGUGCAAACGUUGUUCGGAUUUACUGGGCGUAAAGCGCGUGUAGGCUGCUUCGCGAGUCGGAUGUGAAAGCCCUGGGCUCAACCCAGGAAGUGCAUUCGAAACUGCAGAGCUGGAGUCCUGGAGAGGAAGGCGGAAUUCUCGGUGUAGAGGUGAAAUUCGUAGAUAUCGAGAGGAACACCGGUGGCGAAGGCGGCCUUCUGGACAGUGACUGACGCUGAGACGCGAAAGCGUGGGGAGCAAACGGG